GGAAUCUUAGACAAUGGGCGCAAGCCUGAUCUAGCCAUGCCGCGUGAGCGAUGAAGGCCUUAGGGUUGUAAAGCUCUUUCGCUGGGGAAGAUAAUGACGGUACCCAGUAAAGAAGCCCCGGCUAACUCCGUGCCAGCAGCCGCGGUAAUACGGAGGGGGCUAGCGUUGUUCGGAAUUACUGGGCGUAAAGCGCGCGUAGGCGGGCUGGAAAGUCAGAGGUGAAAUCCCGGGGCUCAACCCCGGAACUGCCUUUGAAACUAUCAGCCUUGAGUUCGAGAGAGGUGAGUGGAAUUCCGAGUGUAGAGGUGAAAUUCGUAGAUAUUCGGAGGAACACCAGUGGCGAAGGCGGCUCACUGGCUCGAUACUGACGCUGAGGUGCGAAAGCGUGGGGAGCAAACAGGAUUAGAUACCCUUGUAGUCC
rnacentral:rRNA from 1 species